GACGAACGCUGGCGGCGUGCUUAACACAUGCAAGUCGAACGGAAAGGCCUCUUUCGGGGGGUACUCGAGUGGCGAACGGGUGAGUAACACGUGAGUAACCUGCCCUUGACUUUGGGAUAACUUCAGGAAACUGGGGCUAAUACCGGAUAGGAGCUCCUGCUGCAUGUUGUGGGUUGGAAAGUUUCGGCGGUUGGGGAUGGACUCGCGGCUGAUCAGCUUGUUGGUGGGGUAGUGGCUUACCAAGGCUUUGACGGGUAGCCGGCCUGGGAGGGUGACCGGCCACAUUGGGACUGAGAUACGGCCCAGACUCCUACGGGAGGCAGCAGUGGGGAAUAUUGCACAAUGGGUGGAAGCCUGAUGCAGCAACGCCGUGUGCGGGAUGACGGCCUUCGGGUUGUAAACCGCUUUCGCUCAUGACGAAGCUUUGUGUGACGGUAGUGGGUAAAGAAGCACCGGCUAACUACGUG
rnacentral:rRNA from 1 species